rnacentral:rRNA from 1 species
UACGUAGGGGUGCAAGCGUUAAUCGGAAUUACUGGGCGUAAAGCGUGCGUAGGUGGUUUGUUAAGUCUGUUGUGAAAGCCCCGGGCUCAACCUGGGAAUGGCAAUGGAUACUGGCAGGCUAGAGUGCGGUAGAGGGUAGUGGAAUUCCCGGUGUAGCGGUGAAAUGCGUAGAGAUCGGGAGGAACACCAGUGGCGAAGGCGGCUACCUGGACCAGCACUGACACUGAGGCACGAAAGCGUGGGGAGCAAACAGG